UACGAAGGGGGCUAGCGUUGUUCGGAAUUACUGGGCGUAAAGCGCACGUAGGCGGAUAUUUAAGUCAGGGGUGAAAUCCCAGAGCUCAACUCUGGAACUGCCUUUGAUUCUGGGUAUCUCGAGUAUGGAAGAGGUGAGUGGAAUUCCGAGUGUAGAGGUGAAAUUCGUAGAUAUUCGGAGGAACACCAGUGGCGAAGGCGGCUCACUGGUCCAUUACUGACGCUGAGGUGCGAAAGCGUGGGGAGCAAACAGG
rnacentral:rRNA from 1 species